UGGAGCAGGACCCCGUGCAGCCUUCCUGGAACAGACCCUCCCCCAUAUCCUCUGCUUUAGUACCUGACUAUGCAGAUAAUAGUAUCCCAUGCACAUUUCCUGAGUCAUUUGACAGAUGCUAAAACCCCCACAAAAUGGAAGGAAUUAACUAUUUGAUGACCAUGAGCACGUGGUCUGCAGACGUACCAUUGGUAGGGAGCCCCUGUGACACUGCCCUGUUACCUCACCAUCAACCAAUCAGAUCACCAAGCCUGGACACCCCCCCCCACCCCAUCACCUGGCCUUUAAAAGUGCUUUGCUCAAACCCACCAGGGAGUUCGGGCCUUUUGAGCACUAGUCCCAGGGCUCUCACUUAGCUGCACUCUCUUUCCCCACCACCCCAUGUCAGUAGAUUGCCUUUACUGUGCAAGAGUGAGUGGAUCCAAGCUGAGCUCCAUUGCUGCAGCCACCUUUGGUCUACAUGCUCAGGACUCCCAAAUCUACUCCUCCAGUCCAGACCUCUCCGUGAAGUUUAGGCUCAUUUUUUUUUUUUAACUGCUUGCUAAACAAUUUCACCUGACCCCUUCCCAGUCGAUACCUUUCAGCUGGACUCACCAUUAUCUAACCAUUAUGGUGGAACUCAUAGGCUAUGACUCUAAAGAGCUGUUAGUAGCCCUGUCUCUUGCUAGCCUGCAGUGAAAGAAACACAGUGAAAAGAAAGAAGUGUGCAGAAAAUGAAGUAAAGCCAAUCCAAAUGAAGGAAGCCAUGGCCACGGACAGGGGGUUCCAGGAAUGGUUGAAAUUCUGGUUCAAGUAGUCCCCCAAAACACGCCUGCAUCACAGCCUCCAUGACUUACCAUAUCUGAUCAAGUUUAAGAUGCCAUCAGAGUUCCUCUUCCUAUUAUGGCUCACUGGUAAUGAACCCAACUAGUAUCCAUGAGGAUGAGGGUUCUCUCCCUGGCCUCACUCAGUGGGUUAAGGAUCCGAGUUGCCAUGAGCUAUGGUGUAGGGUCGCAGACACGGCUCAGAUCUGAUGUUCCUGUGGCUAUGGCAUAGGCUGGCAGCUGUAGCUCUGAUUCAGCCUCUAGCCUGAGAAUCUCCAUAUGCCACAGCUGUCACCUUAAAAAGCAAAAAGUUAAAAUUAAAAAAUAAAAAAAGACACCACCAAUUACAGGAUGCACUACUAUGUUAUCUAUUUCAAUACUAUGUAUUAAAUACAUUUGCAAUGAAGAUUAGCAUGCUAGACUAGCAUGUUAGACAUUUUAUUUCAGAGACAUUUUUUUAAAUUGUAAUGCAAGUUCUAGAAUCAAUGAGAUUGAGCAGUUAUUCAACUCUCCCUUGGAGUCUAAGCAAAUUCAAGUUGGCUUGCUAUGACUUCCAAUCACAAGAAUAACUAAUAUAUUAUGGACUUACAUAUGUGAAUAAGAUGCAGAGAGAAGUUCCGACCUGGGAAUAGGAUAAUGUGAAAAACACACAGCAGUAAGUCUUUCUAAAGGAAAAAAUUGUUUCAUGCAAGAAUUAUAAAGAGCAUAAAUUACCCUGAAAGUAAUCGAGAGUGCCAGUGUCCUCAUUUGCUCCAGUAUUACUUGGAAGCACUCCAGUGACCCAUCCUGAGGUGAAGAACUAAAUGGCAGUAACAACAGUUUCAAGCAAGCCAAUUAAGGUGUUUCUCUACAAUUAUCCAACAUAAACACCAGUUUGGAUAUUGGUUAAUAUACAUGAGCACCUUCUCAAGAAUUAGAAACUCCCCAGAAUCCAUCCUCCUAAUAUAAUUAAAUCAUAUUCUAACAAUUAGUGAUGAAAAAAAUGAUUCAAACUAAACAAACAAACAACUCUAAAACUCUUCAAAUAAGCAAACUUUUUUUUUUUUUUGGUAAAAAAAACAGUUUGGAACCUCAGGUUUACCAGUGUCAGGACAGGGAAAGGGCUCUAUCUGAAAGGCUACAGAGAUUUGCCAACUGUGAAAGCUGGUAGUCCCACCAAAAAGAAUUGAGUGAGCAAAGCAAGAAUUCAUUCUCCCAGGUUCAAGUGUCCUAUAGCUCACUUUUAUUUUAAAUGUGGCUUCUGGGCUCGCUUCUGCCGUAGCAUGAGCCGCAAGCCCACAGAGCCUGCCAGAUGGCAGUGGGAAGCCCAUUAGCUAUGCAUCACACAUCCUGAUCAAAACUGAAAGAAAUUAUGCUCAGAUUGAGGAGAGAUGCUCAAGAGUAAGGCAUUGAUUAGAAUUUUCUGUAUUUCAACAGAGGAUUUCACAUCAUCAUUGUCCAUAAAUAAACUCAUUCUUAUGAUCUGCGGUCCCAAUUCUGGGAUCACUUCCAAAGGAACUCCUCUCGUGGUUUGGGUCAAAACAUGCACGUUUCUGUGAUAUUCAUUAGAGAAUGCCACGGAGCUGAUGCCCUUUCAAGGUUAUCUUGAAAAGUCUCAGAAUCAGAGAGUAAGAUAAUACAUCAAAUGUUGUGCUUUUCAGAGGCACUCUCUUCUUUAAUAGGUACUGGGGAGGAAGGAGAAGAAUUCAGUUACAAAGGAAGCUUAUUAGAAUCUUUGAGAGAACAGGCUUAAUGAAAAUAAAUGGGAAAUGCCGAGUAUAAGUAUUGCUGAGGAGAAAGAUGCUAAGGAGUACUUUGAAAGGGGCUGAGGGACCCAAAGUGUAUAGGAUAACAUUAACUGACUGUAAAGUUUAUCUGGGAAACAAAAUAGAAGAUCCUAUUGGUUGCCCAACAAAAUCACGAGAGAUUGUAUUGUAAUCAUAUGUUACCAGUUUUUGCUAAGUAGAAGAUAUUUAUAUAAUAACACAUGCAGAAGUUCCCAGGCCAGGGACCAACCCCAAGCCACCAGAAGUGACUUGAGGCACACUCGAGUAACAAUGCCAGAUCCUUAACCACUAGGCCACCAGGGAACUCCAUGAAUAACAAUUUCUAGUCCUCAGUUUCCCCAUUUAUAAAAUAAGAAUAAAAAUAUCUGUUUUUUCCCCACUACCAGGAUGUUGUGAAGAAAAAUAUCAGACAUUUCAAAGGGAGGAAAGUUCUGUCUCAGAUAAAGGGGGGGAGGGGAUCUUCCUGCCCUAUCUCCAAAUUUUCUGAAAAAGCUAGACUAAAUUAACAGACAUUCACCGAGCAUCUAUUUUAACCCCAAAUCAGCUCCAAGGGAUACUUUGAAGACUUCAAUAAUAGAAACAGAGAAAAUAGUGCUGGAGUCCAGGAUGAACCUGGCCCCGGCUGGUUGUGAGAGAUACAACUGUACACUCCAUACUCUCAUGAGGCUUACAGUCUAGUGUUCAGGGGAGCCCAGGAGCUGCGGUGUCCAAGUCUGGAUCUGCAUCAGCUUCCUAAGAUCACAACCCCCCAGAUCCAGUGAACUGGAGCAUCUGGAAUGAAGAGGGAUGUGACUGGUGAAAAGGCAAAUGGAUGACGUCACUGCACUUCUCAUUCAAACUUGCAUCAGUGUGGCUCUGCCCUUAUUUGUGUUCAGCAAGGUUUUGGUUGAAGAGAUAAUUCAGCAUCUAAAGCAAAAUAAAAUAAACCUUUGAUUUUGAGAAAACGUAAGUCUAAUGGAUUUCCUCAUAGACUGGAAAUUAUUUCCAGACUUUCAUUCAUUCAUCCAUCAUUCAUUCACUCAACAAACAUUUUUUGUAUGCUUCUUCUGAUACCAGGGUCUCAGCAGUGAACGGGGUCUUAGCUCUCAGAAAGUUAUCACCAACCUAACUGGACAUCCAGGCGCUCAGCUUUUGAUUUUUCAGGUUUUGUUCUUUAGCUGAAACAGACGUUCUUCCCAUACCACCACACAUUCCUCCACACCCUACCCCCUUUCUGCCAUCCUUUCUUCCCUCCAGAAAGUCACUUCUACUUCUUCAAAAGCACAGAUUUUAACGCUUGUUCAUCUGAAAUAUAUUAGUCUGCAUAUUUCUGCCACUGAUUCGGAACAAGACAACGCAGUAAAAUAAGUACAUCUAUAACGUGUGCUUGUUUCUUGCUUCAUUUUCCUCUGUUUUAUAUUCAGGAUGACAUGUGGGAAAUAUGUCUUGGAGCAGGAUGUUUACAUGUGCAUAUCUUGGGUAGAUAUGAUUUGAUGGGCAGUGUAGACAUAAUCAAUCAACCAAUAUUCAGCAGACAUUCCUGACCAUAGAAAACAGCAUCCUCAUUCUCAAGAAGCAGAUCAAGCUUCCUGUGAUGGACAACUCAGUAAAAGUAACAGAGGCCCACCCUUGCCCUUCAGUAAUGUGAGGAGAGGAAGGAUUUUAAAGGUAGCAGGCAAAUGAUCUCCUCUUACACUCCAAAGCUGAAAUAACGACUGCCUCGUAUUGAAGAAUUUCACAUUAGGUAGAGGGUGUAUGUGUGUGUGAGCGAGAGAGAGGGGGAUGCAAAAACAGGACUAGUGGGUACCUAGAGGGAUAAACCUGUCACUGAUCCUGGUGAAUAUCUCACCAGCUUUGCACAGGAUGAAAAUAAAUUCAACUCAGGAUGAAACCAAUCAAAGGGAAAAUGGGAAGGUAGCCCUCUGAGCAUUCUCUUCUCCUUUGUUCCUCCUGCUCCCCCUCCAGUGGGCUUUCUCAUCACUGUCACUUCAUUAUCGCCACUCCCAUCUUUCUGCUCCCAGAAUGUCAUUACCCAGAGCCUCACUCUUUGUCCCACCUCCUCACUAAGGUAUGAGGAAGCAGCAUUCUAUCCAGCCCCCUCCUUCAUUCAUCAGCAGGGUGGAUCCAACUUCUCCUUGAUGGGUGGACCUCUCUUCCUCUCUGCUCCAGAAUGUCCCUCCUAAAGCCAGCCAGGAUAGAGUCCUGCUCUAUCCUCCCCAGCAGGACUGUUGUCCAUGUAAAGACUCUACUGGCCUCCCCAACCACACACCAAGCUCUUGCUAUUAUGCUUUCUCCACUACUAGAUUGAGGCUCUCUGAUUCAGACUCUAUGACAUUGCUGGUAAAUUUUAACAGAUCAAGUAAAUUAUUCCAUGCUAAUCAGCUAAUGGGAAAAAAAGCCAUGGAGACGCUAAACACUCAUCUCAGGUGUCAUGUGAAUUAUUACAACUUCUCAGGACAACGUCCUGACCUUUGUUCUCUUGGCCCAAAGAAAUGACUCUAAGAGAAGGAAUUUUAAGCUAGGGUAAGAAAGACAGGUGAUAUAUUAGAACUGAAGGGUUUUUUACUCCAUACUAUUACCCAUAGGUCAUCCCCCAACACAAACUAGUUCAACAAAAAAAAAUUCAGUGACCGUCUUGUAAGCCCUCUUCUGCAAGGAGAGGAAAAAACUAAUAUAUACUUCAAGUAGCACUCAUGUUUUAUACAUUUUCUGCCAUAGUUUAAGUUGAAAAUGUUUUCAUACAACCAUAAAUGUGUAAGUAUUUCUUGGUACAUUUCUGGAAAAAAAAAAAAA
rnacentral:lncRNA from 1 species